rnacentral:rRNA from 1 species
GACGAACGCUGGCGGCGUGCUUAACACAUGCAAGUCGAACGGAAAGGCCCUGCUUUUGUGGGGUGCUCGAGUGGCGAACGGGUGAGUAACACGUGAGUAACCUGCCCUUGACUUUGGGAUAACUUCAGGAAACUGGGGCUAAUACCGGAUAGGAGCUCCUGCUGCAUGGUGGGGGUUGGAAAGUUUCGGCGGUUGGGGAUGGACUCGCGGCUUAUCCGCUUGUUGGUGGGGUAGUGGCUUACCAAGGCUUUGACGGGUAGCCGGCCUGGGAGGGUGACCGGCCACAUUGGGACUGAGAGACGGACCAGACUCCUACGGGAGGCAGCAGUGGGGAAUAUUGCACAAUGGGCGGAAGCCUGAGGCAGCAACGCCGCGUGCGGGAUGACGGCCUUCGGGUGGUAAACCGCUUUCGCCUGAGACGAAGCGUGAGUGACGGUAAUGGGUAAAGAAGCACCGGCUAACUACGUG